GUCUAAAUAGCUUAAGAAAAGCGCUACAUUGAAGCUGUAAAGAUGGUCUACCUUUAGACA
rnacentral:tRNA from 1 species